rnacentral:lncRNA from 1 species
GGGGAUAGGGCGGGCGCCCUCUGUAGGUGGGCAGGCGCCCACCUUCAGUGGCCAUCCUGGCUAUCUUUUCUCCACUCCGUCCUUUGCUUGGCUCUUACGCAGAUUAAUAGUUCAUGGGUGGUGGUUGGUCGGUGGAAAAGUGCUGGUGAGUGGAGUUAUGUUGGUGGAUCAAAUAAUGUGAUGGGAUGUGUGUGAGGUGUGGUGUAUGACAUGUGGGACCCAAGUAGUGUGUGUCAUGCUUCUAGAAGGUUGCU